UGCACUGCUAGAUCACGAUGUAUGUCAUCAAUCAAAAUGAUGGUAAGGCUUCUGUCUUCAUUGUACUUCUGUUCUUCUUGAUAUGUCUUGCUUGAAUUUUGAAAACAAAAGUUGCUUUCAAUGUACUGGAGCCCUCUAGUAGCGCUCCGACCAUCUUAGGUACAGUAACCCUACACCGUACAAAGUGAGUGUCAGCGAACAACUCUAUGAUUUUAUCCACAAGCUUUGGCUUGAAGAAGCACCCGUCGGAGAAAUUAUGUGAAGCUUUGAGUUGUGAAUUUGGAUUGAGAGGAUCGGUCAACGGGCGAGCUGAUGUACAAAUGUAUGUUUUUUCUUGGAGUGGGUAGACCUGAGAGGAUUUUGCCUCAAGGAUUGCAUGUGACUUUCCACGAAACACGGUACACUUCGGCGCGUAUCUGUCUGCACAUUCAGCACGUUUGCCUCCUGCUUCAGAAAGCCACCUCAUGGACAUAUCAUUUCAACGGCACAGCAAUUGGCGAAAGAAGAACCCUCCAGCAAUAAAGGCCCUCCAAUACUGCUUUGAUAUUUGUUUUUCGUCCAUUGCUGCGCAACCUUGAUAGAUCAGGGUUGUAGUGCUAGUCUAGGCUAUCUAGAGACAAGAUGAGCUAAUGAGUAGUAGAUUUUCUCUUGAGUGUACUGACACAUGAUUGUGUGGAAAAGCUUUUCUUUAAGGUCACGGUCCGCUAUUAAAUUUCC
rnacentral:lncRNA from 1 species